GGAGAAGGAAGGUGCCCGGUGGUGCCGCUGGUCUUCAAAACCAGUCUGGGGGUCGUAAGGCCCCCGGAGGGUUCGACUCCCUCCCUUCUCCGCCA
rnacentral:tRNA from 1 species